AGGGUCCGUCCACCAGAGUGGUUUACUUCAGUAACCUGCCGCUGUGUUUCUACACUGACGUCCAGUUCAUCGGACUGGUGAAAGGUUUCGGGACGGCGGUGCGCUACUUCCUGAUCCGCCGCCGCCGAGAGGGUUUCAUCGAGAUGUCGAGCUCGUCGGAGGCUGUGAGAGCUGCUUCAGAGCUCAGCUGUAAAUCUGUCUGCCUCAACGGCUCCAAACUCACCGUCCACAUCUCCCACAAAUACUCCCGGCUCACUGCAGGGUGGCCGGUUCAGUCAGACGAGGACAUGAACGACGAGCGAAGGAGUCAAAGCAGCAGCAGGAGGAGCGAGAGACGAAGCAAAUCCAAG